AUUGAACGCUGGCGGCAUGCCUUACACAUGCAAGUCGAACGGUAACAGGUCUUCGGAUGCUGACGAGUGGCGAACGGGUGAGUAAUACAUCGGCACGUGCCCGAUCGUGGGGGAUAACGGAGCGAAAGCUUUGCUAAUACCGCAUACGAUCUACGGAUGAAAGCAGCGGACCGCAAGGCCUUGCGCGAACGGAGCGGCCGAUGGCAGGUUAGGUAGUUGGUGGGAUAAAAGCUUACCAAGCCGACGAUCUGUAGCUGGUCUGAGAGGACGACCAGCCACACUGGGACUGAGACACGGCCCAGACUCCUACGGGAGGCAGCAGUGGGGAAUUUUGGACAAUGGGCGCAAGCCUGAUCCAGCCAUGCCGCGUGCAGGAUGAAGGCCUUCGGGUUGUAAACUGCUUUUGUACGGAACGAGAAGGUUUGGCCUAAUACGCUGAACUCAUGACGGUACCGUAAGAAUAAGCACCGGCUAACUACGUGCCAGCAGCCGCCGUAAAAC
rnacentral:rRNA from 1 species